UAACAAGAAGAAGAACUUCUCAUAUAAUGCAAGUGUAAAUCAGAUAGGACACCCCACUGAUAAUUAACACCUAUGAAUANAAAAUAGCAANCCUAACAAGAAAACCCUACUNAANNCCCANUGUGUUAAACUAACACCAGAGCAUUACGAGAAAGAUUAAAAGAAAGAGAAGGAACUCGGCAAANUAUUAACCUCGCCUGUUUACCAAAAACAUCGCCUCCUGAAUNNNAAAUAUAAGAGGUCCAGCCUGCCCAGUGACUUUGUUCAACGGCCGCGGUAUCCUAACCGUGCGAAGGUAGCGUAAUCACUUGUUCUUUAAAUGAGGACUAGUAUGAAUGGCACCACGAAGGUUAUACUGUCUCCUCUUUUUAAUCAGUGAAACUAAUCUCCCCGUGAAGAAGCGGGAAUAAACAUAUAAGACGAGAAGACCCUAUGGAGCUUUAAACUAUNGUAACACUUGCACCACCACAACACAAAUUUCAGAAAAAUCNNNNUNCUCCAACGCAUGCAAGNCUUAUUACCAGUUUUAGGUUGGGGUGACCGCGGAGCAAAAAACAACCUCCACAUUGAAAGGANANCUUNACUCCUUAGCCAAGAGCCACACCUCCCCGCACCAUUACAAUGACAUUAAUUGACCCAANUAUUUUGAUCAACGAACCAAGUUACCCUAGGGAUAACAGCGCAAUCCAUUUCAAGAGCUCCUAUCGACAAAUGGGUUUACGACCUC
rnacentral:rRNA from 1 species